CCCUUAGAUGUUCUGGGCAGCACGCGCGCUACAAUGGUCUUCGCAAACGGAUGCAUUCUCGAAGGAGAAUGCCAAUCUUGGAACCUAUGCCUUGGUCGGGACAGUUGCUUGCAAUUUUUCGACUCGAACCAGGAAUUCCUUGUAAUCGUGAUUCAUCACAUCACGAUGAAUACGUCCCUGCCCUUUGUACACACCGCCCGUCGCUCCUACCGAUCGAAGAGUUAGGUGAAUUGUUUUGAUCGAUAAGAUUUGACUAUGGUCAACUCUCGUUGUGAAAUUCUGUGAAUCUGACUGUUUAGAGGAAGGAAAAGUCGUAACA
rnacentral:rRNA from 1 species